GGGCACAUGGUGUAGAUGGUUUAUCACGCUCGCUUAGCAAACAAAUAUGCGAGAGGUGUCCGGUUCAAUUCCGGAUGUGUCCA